rnacentral:rRNA from 1 species
GUGCCAGCCGCCGCGGUAAUACGUAAGGGGCGAGCGUUGUCCGGAAUCAUUGGGCGUAAAGGGUGCGCAGGCGGUCUGACAAGUUAGAGGUGAAAUCCAUCGGCUCAACCGAUGAACUGCCUUUAAAACUGUUAGACUUGAGGACAAGAGAAGAAAACGGAAUUCCUAGUGUAGUGGUGAAAUACGUAGAUAUUAGGAAGAACACCAAUGGCGAAAGCAGUUUUCUGGCUUGAUUCUGACGCUGAGGCACGAAAGCUAGGGGAGCAAACGGGAUUAGAUACCCGUGUAGUCC